CCGAAUGGGGAAACCCAGUGUGUUUCGACACACUAUCAUUAACUGAAUCCAUAGGUUAAUGAGGCGAACCGGGGGAACUGAAACAUCUAAGUACCCCGAGGAAAAGAAAUCAACCGAGAUUCCCCCAGUAGCGGCGAGCGAACGGGGAGGAGCCCAGAGCCUGAAUCAGUGUGUGUGUUAGUGGAAGCGUCUGGAAAGGCGCGCGAUACAGGGUGACAGCCCCGUACACAAAAAUGCACAUAUUGUGAGCUCGAUGAGUAGGGCGGGACACGUGGUAUCCUGUCUGAAUAUGGGGGGACCAUCCUCCAAGGCUAAAUACUCCUGACUGACCGAUAGUGAACCAGUACCGUGAGGGAAAGGCGAAAAGAACCCCGGCGAGGGGAGUGAAAAAGAACCUGAAACCGUGUACGUACAAGCAGUGGGAGCCUCUUAAUGGGGUGACUGCGUACCUUUUGUAUAAUGGGUCAGCGACUUAUAUUCUGUAGCAAGGUUAACCGAAUAGGGGAGCCGAAGGGAAACCGAGUCUUAACUGGGCGUUAAGUUGCAGGGUAUAGACCCGAAACCCGGUGAUCUAGCCAUGGGCAGGUUGAAGGUUGGGUAACACUAACUGGAGGACCGAACCGACUAAUGUUGAAAAAUUAGCGGAUGACUUGUGGCUGGGGGUGAAAGGCCAAUCAAACCGGGAGAUAGCUGGUUCUCCCCGAAAGCUAUUUAGGUAGCGCCUCGUGAAUUCAUCUCCGGGGGUAGAGCACUGUUUCGGCAAGGGGGUCAUCCCGACUUACCAACCCGAUGCAAACUGCGAAUACCGGAGAAUGUUAUCACGGGAGACACACGGCGGGUGCUAACGUCCGUCGUGAAGAGGGAAACAACCCAGACCGCCAGCUAAGGUCCCAAAGUCAUGGUUAAGUGGGAAACGAUGUGGGAAGGCCCAGACAGCCAGGAUGUUGGCUUAGAAGCAGCCAUCAUUUAAAGAAAGCGUAAUAGCUCACUGGUCGAGUCGGCCUGCGCGGAAGAUGUAACGGGGCUAAACCAUGCACCGAAGCUGCGGCAGCGACACUAUGUGUUGUUGGGUAGGGGAGCGUUCUGUAAGCCUGUGAAGGUGGCCUGUGAGGGUUGCUGGAGGUAUCAGAAGUGCGAAUGCUGACAUAAGUAACGAUAAAGCGGGUGAAAAGCCCGCUCGCCGGAAGACCAAGGGUUCCUGUCCAACGUUAAUCGGGGCAGGGUGAGUCGACCCCUAAGGCGAGGCCGAAAGGCGUAGUCGAUGGGAAACAGGUUAAUAUUCCUGUACUUGGUGUUACUGCGAAGGGGGGACGGAGAAGGCUAUGUUGGCCGGGCGACGGUUGUCCCGGUUUAAGCGUGUAGGCUGGUUUUCCAGGCAAAUCCGGAAAAUCAAGGCUGAGGCGUGAUGACGAGGCACUACGGUGCUGAAGCGACAAAUGCCCUGCUUCCAGGAAAAGCCUCUAAGCAUCAGGUAACAUCAAAUCGUACCCCAAACCGACACAGGUGGUCAGGUAGAGAAUACCAAGGCGCUUGAGAGAACUCGGGUGAAGGAACUAGGCAAAAUGGUGCCGUAACUUCGGGAGAAGGCACGCUGAUAUGUAGGUGAAGCGACUUGCUCGUGGAGCUGAAAUCAGUCGAAGAUACCAGCUGGCUGCAACUGUUUAUUAAAAACACAGCACUGUGCAAACACGAAAGUGGACGUAUACGGUGUGACGCCUGCCCGGUGCCGGAAGGUUAAUUGAUGGGGUUAGCGGUAACGCGAAGCUCUUGAUCGAAGCCCCGGUAAACGGCGGCCGUAACUAUAACGGUCCUAAGGUAGCGAAAUUCCUUGUCGGGUAAGUUCCGACCUGCACGAAUGGCGUAAUGAUGGCCAGGCUGUCUCCACCCGAGACUCAGUGAAAUUGAACUCGCUGUGAAGAUGCAGUGUACCCGCGGCAAGACGGAAAGACCCCGUGAACCUUUACUAUAGCUUGACACUGAACAUUGAGCCUUGAUGUGUAGGAUAGGUGGGAGGCUUUGAAGUGUGGACGCCAGUCUGCAUGGAGCCGACCUUGAAAUACCACCCUUUAAUGUUUGAUGUUCUAACGUGGGCCCCUUACCGGGGUUGCGGACAGUGUCUGGUGGGUAGUUUGACUGGGGCGGUCUCCUCCUAAAGAGUAACGGAGGAGCACGAAGGUUGGCUAAUCCUGGUCGGACAUCAGGAGGUUAGUGCAAUGGCAUAAGCCAGCUUGACUGCGAGCGUGACGGCGCGAGCAGGUGCGAAAGCAGGUCAUAGUGAUCCGGUGGUUCUGAAUGGAAGGGCCAUCGCUCAACGGAUAAAAGGUACUCCGGGGAUAACAGGCUGAUACCGCCCAAGAGUUCAUAUCGACGGCGGUGUUUGGCACCUCGAUGUCGGCUCAUCACAUCCUGGGGCUGAAGUAGGUCCCAAGGGUAUGGCUGUUCGCCAUUUAAAGUGGUACGCGAGCUGGGUUUAGAACGUCGUGAGACAGUUCGGUCCCUAUCUGCCGUGGGCGCUGGAGAACUGAGGGGGGCUGCUCCUAGUACGAGAGGACCGGAGUGGACGCAUCACUGGUGUUCGGGUUGUCAUGCCAAUGGCACUGCCCGGUAGCUAAAUGCGGAAGAGAUAAGUGCUGAAAGCAUCUAAGCACGAAACUUGCCCCGAGAUGAGUUCUCCCUGACUCCUUGAGAGUCCUGAAGGAACGUUGAAGACGACGACGUUGAUAGGCCGGGUGUGUAAGCGCAGCGAUGCGUUGAGCUAACCGGUACUAAUGAACCGUGAGGCUUAACCUUACAACGCCGAAG
rnacentral:rRNA from 1 species